UGUGUGUGUGUCUAAUCAUGUAAAUUCUUCCUCUGAAGAAGGGGAUGACUUCUAACAAAGGUGCAAAGCUCCAUCUUUGAAAUGUUGAUAACGAAAACAAUGUCACAUUUUAAACCUGAGAAUAGUCUUGCAUAAUAUGUAUGUAUGUAUGUAUGUAUGUAUGUAUGU